AUGCAUAUGGCUCAGAAUCUCGACUCGGCUGCUGAGGUUUUGUCCAGGCGUGUUCCUUUUUUCCCUUCCUUGCCAGGCUUUCUGGUACAGCUUGCGAGUCCAGCAUGUAUUGUUUGGAUAGCAAAUCCAAAAGAGGCCCAGGAUGAAAUGAAUCAGCGUUACUGUUUCUUCCCCGACCCAUCUGUCUUCCCGGAAAGUCUGAGGUGUGGAUGGAUUCCACCCCUACCCCUGGAUCUUCAAGUUGAAUUCCUACUCCAGGUACCAAUGGUGCAGUCAUCCUGGCUCAUCCCAGGGGUGGGUGGGACUUGUCCAGUUAGGGGAGCAUUGAGCUUGCUCUUGGAACGCAUGAUACCUAGAGAGUCAUUCUUGAGGCCUCGUGGCCCAGGUGGCACUGCAUGGAGGUCUUUUGCUGUUGGGUGCCAGUCAACAUUACACACACACACACACACACACACACACACACACACACACACACUUUAUAGUGAAAUGCUGUUAUCUGAUGUUUGCAUUGCACUGAGCCUGCUGAUAACUGCCAGGGAAAAAUGCUGUUCCCUGCUCAUGGAGGUCCCCAAAAUAUUGUACUCAUUGCCUGGCAAUGGCUUAUCUGGGACAUUCAGAAGGUGGGUUGGUACUGUGUCCUCUGAUCUUCCCUCCUUGAAAUGCAUGCUUGUUCAGGAAGAGAAGACUCAGAUGUCCUUCCCAGCUUCCAGGGCCUGAGACAUUCUGCAGAGAAUUGUUCUGGAGCAUUUCCUGGAAUUGUCACCGCCUCGGAUGAGUACAGAGGGGUUGAGGAAGAGGCACAAAGUCAGCAUUGCAACCACUGAGACUGAAGGGUGAAUGUCUAGGAAUCAGCAUGAUCAGAGACAAGACUCAAAUGCAAGGGGGAGCCCUGGGGCCAGGGUGAGGGGUCGGCGCUGCAAGGAGUGGCGGGAUGUGGGCAGGCACAGGUCCUCUGCUGUGAACAGGCCACGUCAUUUGCAGCAGCCAAGAGGUGGAAGCAACCCAAGUGUCCUUUGACAGAUGAAUGGAGAAGCAGGAUGUGGUCUAUCCACAUGAUGGAAUAUUAUUCAGCCUUGAAAAGGAGGGAAAUGCUGACACAUGCUACAACCUGCAUGAACCUUGAGGACAUUAUGAUAAGUGAAAUAAACCAAUCACAGAAAACCAAACAUAUGAUUCUGCUUAUACAAGAUUCCUGGAGCAGUCAAAUCCACAGAGAUAGAAAGUAGAAUGGUGGGUUCCAGGGGCUGGGGAGUACUUGAUGGAUACAGAGUUUCAGUUUGGGGUGAAGAAAAAGUUCUGUGGAUGGAUGAUGGCGAUGGCCACACAACAGCCUGAAUGUGUUUAAUGCUACUGAACUGUGCAAUUAAAUGCUUAAUAGGCUAAGUAUAAUCUACUACAAUAAAAAAGAUGAAAUAAAAAGUAGACAAAAACUUGAAAACAUUAAAAAAAUAAAGACACUGUGAGGCAUGACCUCCUUACCUCGCACAUGGAAAGUUCUGGAAACCGGACGGCGAGGUCUGUCUGUCCCAGCCCACAGGUGUGACUAUUCUUCUUUGUUGCCUUUUAUUUUUCAAAACCUAGCUCAGAUUCCUCUUCUCUUAGAAAGCGUCUUUGGGUCGUUUGACUGGGAGCUGCUGUUUUUUGCAUGUUCUCGUGGCCCAUUGUUUCUCCAGGGUGAAGUCUGUUGUGUUUUAUUUACUCUUUUGCCGCUCGCCUCCCCCGUGAGACCCAGGGGUCCUCUGAGGCAGGCUGGGUCUUGUUCACCUCUGUGUGUGGCUCCAUGCUCUGCAUAGAACUGAGUGCCCCAGUCAUGUCGGUGCUGCUUCUUGGGUUCCUCUUGAACCAUAUGUAAAAAUCAGGCCCCGCCUAGCUGUGAAUCCAGGAGCUUUUGCAUGAAAUCAUGUGGCCGUGUGAAGUCCCACCCCUGGCAUCUCAAAUUUUCUCCUGUGGUGAGAACCCCCAUGACUGUGUUGAACUGAGAAAAAUUAUUUCUGCUUUGCAAGAGAACCAAUAUAUUUGAAGAUUAUGUCUUCUGCAGCUGUGACAAGUCUUAUUUUCCUCUUGCUCCUAUCUUUCAUCGAUUUGAAGUCCCGGUGUUCUUUUGGGAAUAUUUUAAGUCUACAGUAUUCUGAAUUUGGAAUAAAUUUCCUGGGCAGGGCUGCCACUGUGGGGGUUAGCCAAGCAAAGCAAAAUUGCAACUUGUUCUGUGUCCUUCCAAGUGAAUCUGUCCUGAUCACAUCAGUACCCUACUGAUCACUUUAAAAUGAAGAAUUUCUGUCCAAGACAGGGACUCUUCAGAUAAGGAAUCUUAGUGAAGAGGCAGGUGUCAGACUGGGAGAAAAUAUUUGUAAUAUCUAAAACUGAUAGAGGGUUGAAAGAGAGCUUCAAUGGCACAAAGAAUUCUUGGAAAUCAUCAAGCAAAUAGUUGGCUCUGUCUUCCUAGCUUGGAUUCCUGCAUCUGAGUGUUUCCAAUAACUCUCUCUUAUAAGUGAGAAAAAGUUUAACAAAAAAAGUAUCACUUCUUGGCCUUUUGGCUAAGAUCAAGUGUAAAAAAGUUUAAGUGAAUAAGCAUUUAGGUCAGCAAAGACGUGAGUCUCAGUUUAGGAUGUCGUGACUGAAAAUGCCUAAAAUAUUAAUGUCACUUUUGCUUGUUGAUAUACUGGUGCAGAGAGGUAGCAUGAAGUGGUAAAAGACCGUGUUAUGGAUUGAAUGUUUGUGCCCCACAAAUACAUUUGUUAAUCCCCCAACCACCACUGUGGCUAUAUUUGGAGCCUCUAAGGAGGUAUUUAAAUGAGAUCUUAAGUGUGAGACCCUAAUCUUACAGGAUUAGUAUCUUUAGAGAAAAAGAUGCCAUCGUGAAUAAGAUUCGCAGUAGCUAAGAUACAGAAAUAACCCUGGCGUUUGUCAAUGAUGAAGGGUAAUAAAACAUUUAUAUAUACAUAUAUAUAAUAUAUAUAUAUAAUGGAAUAUUACUCAGCUCUAAAAAUAAUGAGAUCUUAUGAUUCGCCACAACAUGGAUAAACCUGAUAAGCUAGACACAGAGAGAAGAAUAUUGCAUGAUCUUACCUUAUACGUGGAACUAAAAAAAAAUCAAAUAUAAUGAGAUAGAGAACAAAACAGUGGUUGCCAGGGCCCAAGAGGGGAAGUGGGGAGAAAACAGAGCGGUCAGAGGAUAUGAAGCAGCACACAGACAGGAUGAAGAUCUAGUGUAAACACGAGGAUGACGGGUAAUGAAAUUGUACCAGUAUAUUGGGUUCAUGCUGAUAAGUAAAUCUUUGCUGCUCUUGCCAAAACAAAUGAGCAAAAAAGCCCCCCAAAAUGAACAAAAAAGAGCAACUAUGUGACAUGAUGGAUACGUUAAUUCGCUUCCUGCAGUAAUCUUUAAAGCCUCUAUAUGGAUCUCCUAACAUCAUGUUGUUAAAUAUACACAAUGAAAUUCAUUAAAACAGAAAGAAGAGUCAGAGAGCUCCCUCCCCCACCCCUUUUAAGCACCAAAAAAAGACCAUGUGGGCACAGAGCAAGAAGGCAGCCAUCUGCAAGCCAGGGAGGGAGCCCUCACCGGGAGCGCAACCGUACUGACACCUUGAUCAUGGCCUUCCAGCCUGCAGAGCUGUGAGAAAAUAAAUUUCUGUUAAGUCACCCCAUCUGUGGCAUUUUGUUACAGCAGCCCAAACAGACUAGUAGUAGCUUUGGAUCAGAUACAAUUAGACUGAAAUUCUGGUUCUUCCACUUACUGGGUGAUCUUGAACAUGUCAUUUAAUCUUUCUGAGAGUGAUACAUCACACAGAACUCAUACGCCCUAUUGGGAGGUUUGCUGUUUGGCACAGAUAGACACCAUUCUAUGAAUUCCAUUCUAUGAAUAUAGAAUAUGACCAUGAUUGUUAAUCCUUGCCCAGUCAUUGAAUUUCAAAACAAUGAAUAUUAGAUCACUUGGAAGACAGAUGUCAUUGGAACUGACAGGGCAGAGGGCACCCUUUUCCUCAUUCAAUAGCAUUUCUCUUUUCAUUGCAAGGUAUUGGCAUGGGAUUCUCUUGAGAAGGAGCCAGUCCCCACCUCUGUUAGUGAAGAUGCUCAGGGAUUCACUGCUGGUCUAGACUUCCCAGCCAGGCUCUCAGGAUCUGGAAGCUUGAAAUUAGAGUCCAACCUCUUUCCCUUGCACCCA
ensembl:lncRNA